GACUGCCUAGCCUACUGUUUACCAUUUUCAUGGUCUCUCUCUCUCUCUCUGGCUUUAUCUCUGUAUAGUGUACAUACAUGUAACUUUGAGUGAUCUGUUAUUUUUUCACUCAUAUCAAGCCUGAAGAUGAUGAAGCAGUGACCAACAAAAUAUAUUUACUUUUGGCACAGGGUUACGUCUUGACUACGUGGUUGGUGGUGGAAGGUUUUUGACAUAAUUGAUGGGUUAAAUUUUGGCGAUUUUAUUAUGUCUUAUCUUUUACUUGUCAAUGAUCACAACAUGUAAGGAACAAUAAUGCUUGUAACAGUGAUGCUCUCUCUCUUUCUGUCUUUU